UAAAAUAAAAGGGAACGAAAGAAAGGAGGUGAUGGCAUGAGAUGGUUUGCAUGUGUUUGUUUCCAUUUCCAUUUCCAUUUCCAUUUCCAAAUCUUUGUCGUUCAUUUCGAUAAACUCUCCAUUGAAGCGGCUUCCGAGCUUACUCCUCCAUUGAAUUCAAGCAGCUUGCCAUUUUAUAUUUUACUCUGACUUCUCUCUCUGGUUUUUCUCGCAAUCAUCUCUAAUUAUUUUGGCUAUGCACAUUCUUUUCUUCAGCUCAAAAUGAUUGGUCACAUGGCGGAUGAUACCCCAUCAAUCCCAGGAAAAUUCAAGCCUGAAAAAUCAUCGAUUUACUUCAAUAGAAUCCGAUGGUCCCUAGAAGAAGAAAUGCCUUGCUAUUUUGGUAUUGUUACACAGUGUAUGGUGGUUCCUACCAGUUUGUGACCUGCCAGCUCUUCUUGGGUGUGCUCAUUGAUGACGGUGAUGGUGGAGUUGAAAGAAGUUCUUCAAGAAAAUGAAAUGUUAUAGAUAUUUUGUGUUUGUUUUAGUGUUUAAUUGCAAUGGAAUGGUUGGAUAGUUAAAGAUGUAAGCGUUAGCACCAACAUGAUUCCGAGUUGUUCUUACAUUCAUCUAGCUAAUCUGUGUUUUUUAUGCCUGUUUUUUCUUUUAUGGAUAGGAUAUUUGUAGGGUUCUUGAAAAAUGGUGUAACCUCAAAUUUGUGUGAGUUGAUAUAGGCUUUUUAUCUUGUUUUA